GUGCUCACUUUGGCAGCACAUAUACUAAAAUUGCAAUAAUACAAAGAUUAGCAUCAUCCCUGAGCAAGAAUGACAUGCAAAUUCAUGAAAUUCUAUAUUAAAAA